AUUGAACGCUGGCGGCAGGCCUAACACAUGCAAGUCGAACGAGUGGCGGACGGGUGAGUAAUGUAUGGGAAACUACCCGAGGGAGGGGGAUAACGAGGGGAAACGGUAGCUAAUACCGCAUACCAUCGGAUGUGCCCAGAUGGGAUUAGCUAGUAGGUGGGGUAACGGCUCACCUAGGCGACGAUCCCUAGCUGGUCUGAGAGGAGGAACCGCCACACUGGCACUGAGACACGGUCCAGACUCCUACGGGAGGCAGCAGUGGGGAAUAUUGCACAAUGGGCGCAAGCCUGAUGCAGCCAUGCCGCGUGUAUGAAGAAGGCCUUCGGGUUGUAAAGUACUUUCAGCGGGGAGGCGUUACUCGCACAAGAAGCAACGGCUAACUCCGUGCCAGCCGCCGCGGUAAUUC
rnacentral:rRNA from 1 species